rnacentral:lncRNA from 1 species
GGGCCCUAUGAGUUCACAUGGGGCAUUAUGGGGUCUGUGGGGCCCAAUGGGGCAUUAUGGGAUCUGUGGGGCCCUAUGGGGUGUUAUGGGGUCUGUGGGGCCCUAUGAGGUGUUAUGGGGUCUGUGGGGUCCUAUGGGGUCUGUGGGGCCCUAUGAAGUGUUAUGGGGUCUGUGGGGCCCUAUAGGGUCUGUGGGGCCCUAUUUGUUCAUAUGGGGCAUUAUGGGGUCUGUGGGGCCCUAUGGGGCAUUAUGGGAUCUGUGGGGCCCUAUGGGGUGUUAUGGGGUCUGUGGGACCCUAUGGGGCCUGUGGGGCCCUAUGAAGUGUUAUGGGGUCUGUGGGGCCCUAUAGGGUCUGUGGGGUCUGUGGGGCCCUGUUUGUUCAUAUGGGGCAUUAUGGGGCCUGUGGGGCCCUAUGGGGCUUUUUGGGUCUCUGUGGGGCCUGUGAGGCCCUAUGGGGCCCUAUGGGGUGUUAUGGGGUCUGUGAGGCCCUAUGAGUUAAUACGGAGCAUUAUGGGGUCUGUGGGGCUGUAUGGGGCGUUAUGGGGUCUCUGGGGCCGUAUGGGGUGUUAUGGGGUGUUAUGGGGUCUGUGUGGCUCUUUGGGGCCCUAUGGCUCGAUAUGGGGUCAGGGGGGCCAUAUGGGGCCACGCAGGAUUUCUAUAGGAUCUCUAUGGGGCCGUGGGGGUCUCAGGGCCACCAGCAGCGCUCAGCAGGGCCGUGUGCUGCCCC